rnacentral:rRNA from 1 species
GACGAACGCUGGCGGCGUGCCUAAUACAUGCAAGUCGAACGCAUUUUCUUUCACCGUAGCUUGCUACACCGAAAGAAAAUGAGUGGCGAACGGGUGAGUAACACGUGGGUAACCUGCCCAUCAGCGGGGGAUAACACUUGGAAACAGGUGCUAAUACCGCAUAAUUCCAUUUACUGCAUGGUAGAUGGAUGAAAGGCGCUUUUGCGUCACUGAUGGAUGGACCCGCGGUGCAUUAGCUAGUUGGUGGGGUAACGGCCUACCAAGGCUGCGAUGCAUAGCCGACCUGAGAGGGUGAUCGGCCACACUGGGACUGAGACACGGCCCAGACUCCUACGGGAGGCAGCAGUAGGGAAUCUUCGGCAAUGGACGCAAGUCUGACCGAGCAACGCCGCGUGAGUGAAGAAGGUUUUCGGAUCGUAAAACUCUGUUGUUAGAAAGGAACAAGGAUGAGAGUGGAAAGUUCAUCCCUUGACGGUAUCUAACCAGAAAGCCACGGCUAACUACGUG